GAUGAACGCUGGCGGCGUGCUUAACACAUGCAAGUCGAACGGUGAAGCAGAGCUUGCUCUGUGGAUCAGUGGCGAACGGGUGAGUAACACGUGAGCAACCUGCCCCGACCUCGGGGAUAAGGCCGGAAAAGGGGGCCAAAAACGGGAAAGAGGUGGCAACGGCAGGGUAGGCGGUUGGAAAGUUUUUUCGGUCUGGGAUGGGCUCACGGCCUAUCAGCUUGUUGGUGAGGUAAUGGCUCACAAAGGCGUCGACGGGUAGCCGGCCUGAGAGGGUGACCGGCCACACUGGGACUGAGACACGGCCCAGACUCCUACGGGAGGCAGCAGUGGGGAAUAUUGCACAAUGGGCGAAAGCCUGAUGCAGCAACGCCGCGUGAGGGAUGACGGCCUUCGGGUUGUAAACCUCUUUUAGCAGGGAAGAAGCGAAAGUGACGGUACCUGCAGAAAAAGCGCCGGCUAACUACGUG
rnacentral:rRNA from 1 species